rnacentral:rRNA from 1 species
GGUUAAGUUAGAAAGGGCGCACGGUGGAUGCCUUGGCACUAGGAGCCGAUGAAGGACGGGACGAACACCGAUAUGCUUCGGGGAGCUGUAAGCAAGCUUUGAUCCGGAGAUUUCCGAAUGGGGAAACCCACCACUCGUAAUGGAGUGGUAUCCAUAUCUGAAUACAUAGGAUAUGAGAAGGCAGACCCGGGGAACUGAAACAUCUAAGUACCCGGAGGAAGAGAAAGCAAAUGCGAUUCCCUGAGUAGCGGCGAGCGAAACGGGACCAGCCCAAACCAAGAGGCUUGCCUCUUGGGGUUGUAGGACACUCUGUACGGAGUUACAAAGGAACGAGGUAGAUGAAGAGGUCUGGAAAGGCCCGCCAUAGGAGGUAACAGCCCUGUAGUCAAAACUUCGUUCUCUCCUGAGUGGAUCCUGAGUACGGCGGAACACGUGAAAUUCCGUCGGAAUCCGGGAGGACCAUCUCCCAAGGCUAAAUACUCCCUAGUGACCGAUAGUGAACCAGUACCGUGAGGGAAAGGUGAAAAGCACCCCGGAAGGGGAGUGAAAGAGAUCCUGAAACCGUGUGCCUACAAGUAGUCAGAGCCCGUUAACGGGUGAUGGCGUGCCUUUUGUAGAAUGAACCGGCGAGUUACGAUCCCGUGCAAGGUUAAGCAGAAGAUGCGGAGCCGCAGCGAAAGCGAGUCUGAAUAGGGCGAAUUGAGUACGUGGUCGUAGACCCGAAACCAGGUGAUCUACCCAUGUCCAGGGUGAAGUUCAGGUAACACUGAAUGGAGGCCCGAACCCACGCACGUUGAAAAGUGCGGGGAUGAGGUGUGGGUAGGGGUGAAAUGCCAAUCGAACCUGGAGAUAGCUGGUUCUCUCCGAAAUAGCUUUAGGGCUAGCCUCAAGGUAAGAGUCUCGGAGGUAGAGCACUGAUUGGACUAGGGGCCCCUACCGGGUUACCGAAUUCAGUCAAACUCCGAAUGCCGAUGACUUAUCCUUGGGAGUCAGACUGCGAGUGAUAAGAUCCGUAGUCGAAAGGGAAACAGCCCAGACCGCCAGCUAAGGUCCCAAAGUAUACGUUAAGUGGAAAAGGAUGUGGAGUUGCUUAGACAACCAGGAUGUUGGCUUAGAAGCAGCCACCAUUUAAAGAGUGCGUAAUAGCUCACUGGUCGAGUGACUCUGCGCCGAAAAUGUACCGGGGCUAAACGUAUCACCGAAGCUGCGGACUGUUCUUCGAACAGUGGUAGGAGAGCGUUCUAAGGGCUGUGAAGCAAGACCGGAAGGACUUGUGGAGCGCUUAGAAGUGAGAAUGCCGGUAUGAGUAGCGAAAGAGGGGUGAGAAUCCCCUCCACCGAAUGCCUAAGGUUUCCUGAGGAAGGCUCGUCCGCUCAGGGUUAGUCGGGACCUAAGCCGAGGCCGAAAGGCGUAGGCGAUGGAUAACAGGUUGAUAUUCCUGUACCACCUCCUCACCAUUUGAGCAAUGGGGGGACGCAGGAGGAUAGGGUAAGCGCGGUAUUGGAUAUCCGCGUCCAAGCAGUUAGGCUGGGAAAUAGGCAAAUCCGUUUCCCGUGAAGGCUGAGCUGUGAUGGCGAGCGAAUUAUAGUAGCGAAGUUCCUGAUUCCACACUGCCAAGAAAAGCCUCUAGCGAGGUGAGAGGUGCCCGUACCGCAAACCGACACAGGUAGGCGAGGAGAGAAUCCUAAGGUGAUCGAGAGAACUCUCGUUAAGGAACUCGGCAAAAUGACCCCGUAACUUCGGGAGAAGGGGUGCUCUGUUAGGGUGCAAGCCCGAGAGAGCCGCAGUGAAUAGGCCCAGGCGACUGUUUAGCAAAAACACAGGUCUCUGCGAAGCCGUAAGGCGAAGUAUAGGGGCUGACGCCUGCCCGGUGCUGGAAGGUUAAGAGGAGCGCUUAGCGUAAGCGAAGGUGCGAAUUGAAGCCCCAGUAAACGGCGGCCGUAACUAUAACGGUCCUAAGGUAGCGAAAUUCCUUGUCGGGUAAGUUCCGACCCGCACGAAAGGCGCAACGAUCUGGGCACUGUCUCAACGAGAGACUCGGUGAAAUUAUAGUACCUGUGAAGAUGCAGGUUACCCGCGACAGGACGGAAAGACCCCGUGGAGCUUUACUGCAGCCUGAUAUUGAAUGUUGGUACAGCUUGUACAGGAUAGGUAGGAGCCUUGGAAACCGGAGCGCUAGCUUCGGUGGAGGCAUCGGUGGGAUACUACCCUGGCUGUAUUGACCUUCUAACCCGCCGCCCUUAUCGGGCGGGGAGACAGUGUCAGGUGGGCAGUUUGACUGGGGCGGUCGCCUCCUAAAAGGUAACGGAGGCGCCCAAAGGUUCCCUCAGAAUGGUUGGAAAUCAUUCGCAGAGUGUAAAGGCACAAGGGAGCUUGACUGCGAGACCUACAAGUCGAGCAGGGACGAAAGUCGGGCUUAGUGAUCCGGUGGUUCCGCAUGGAAGGGCCAUCGCUCAACGGAUAAAAGCUACCCCGGGGAUAACAGGCUUAUCUCCCCCAAGAGUCCACAUCGACGGGGAGGUUUGGCACCUCGAUGUCGGCUCAUCGCAUCCUGGGGCUGUAGUCGGUCCCAAGGGUUGGGCUGUUCGCCCAUUAAAGCGGUACGCGAGCUGGGUUCAGAACGUCGUGAGACAGUUCGGUCCCUAUCCGUCGCGGGCGCAGGAAAUUUGAGAGGAGCUGUCCUUAGUACGAGAGGACCGGGAUGGACGCACCGCUGGUGUACCAGUUGUUCUGCCAAGGGCAUCGCUGGGUAGCUAUGUGCGGACGGGAUAAGUGCUGAAAGCAUCUAAGCAUGAAGCCCCCCUCAAGAUGAGAUUUCCCAUUCCGCAAGGAAGUAAGAUCCCUGAAAGAUGAUCAGGUUGAUAGGUCUGAGGUGGAAGUGUGGCGACACAUGGAGCUGACAGAUACUAAUCGAUCGAGGACUUAACCAA